GAUGAACGCUGGCGGUAUGCUUAACACAUGCAAGUCGAACGGACUCUUCGGAGUUAGUGGCGGACGGGUGAGUAACGCGUGAGAAUCUGGCUUUGGGUUCGGGACAACCACUGGAAACGGUGGCUAAUACCGGAUGUGCCGAGAGGUAAAAGAGAAAUUGCCUGAAGAUGAGCUCGCGUCUGAUUAGCUAGUUGGUGAGGUAAAGGCUCACCAAGGCAGCGAUCAGUAGCUGGUCUGAGAGGAUGACCAGCCACACUGGGACUGAGACACGGCCCAGACUCCUACGGGAGGCAGCAGUGGGGAAUUGUCCGCAAGGGGCGAAAGCCUGACGGAGCAAUACCGCGUGAGGGAAGAAGGCUCUUGGGUUGUAAACCUAUUUUCUUAGGGAAGAACAAAAUGACGGUACCUAAGGAAUCAGCAUCGGCUAACUCCGUG
rnacentral:rRNA from 1 species